AGCUUUGCGCAGUGGCAGUAACAUAGCUGAUGAGGUUCAUCCGAGGCGUGUUUAUUGCUAGUUGAAAACUAUACCCAAUACCUCGCCCUGUGGACGUGUGAACCGUUACAUUGGUGACCCCGAUACCAAGAAAAGUAAUUUCUUGGAGAAUACGCAAAGCAAAGUAU
rfam:Ciona savignyi cont_28015, whole genome shotgun sequence.